GACGAACGCUGGCGGCGUGCUUAACACAUGCAAGUCGAGCGGUAAGGCCCUUCGGGGUACACGAGCGGCGAACGGGUGAGUAACACGUGGGUGACUUGCCCUCCACUCUGGGAUAAGCCCGGGAAACUGGGUCUAAUACCGGAUAUGACCUCUGGAUGCAUGUCUGGUGGUGGAAAGCCUGGGUUGUAUGACUCUGGCGGUGGGGGAGUGGGCCCGCGGUCUAUCAGCUUGNGGUGGGGUGGA
rnacentral:rRNA from 1 species